GCUCCCCGAGCUUGGACUUGAGGCCUAACACGUGAGGGCAAGGGGGGUGUUGAGGCCUCAUUUCAAAAUCAAUCCUUCUUCAACUCAUCAAACACAUCCCUUCCCUCCUUAUAAUAUCUCAGAUGGCUAGAAAUCUCUUUGCCGCGCCAAAAAUAGGCCUCGUGGCGGCAAAGCCAAGAAGUGUACAAAGCCACCACCACUGAGAUCUUCUUCUCAUCCUCCUUCUAUUUCUCCCCACAAUUUCACCCAGAUAUCAUCCCAGAGUUCCAAAUAGAAACAAAUAUCCAUGAACUCUUAAAACCUCAUCUUGAAAUUAAACAACCUAAAACUCACAAUUCUCCUUGAAUAUCUUUGGGUCAUGGUUCUUAAGUAAGAAACCUACAUCCAGGUAACACGAGGGAAACAAGAAGAAGGUGUUUCAAGAGAGACCUACCUAUAGAGCUAAGAUAUGCUCUGGGAAUUGUUGAUGUUGGAGAUGAAGAUAAGAGGACCAGAGGAUGCACAAUCAGUUACAAGUCUUGACAUGGUGGAAACAUGAAGUCUUGAUCAAGGAGCUUAACAUGGUUUGGCAUGGCACAUCAUGAUGAAAGCUUGGUAGGGAAUUUAAAAACUUAGAGGCACACAUGGAGAAUCCUGAGGACGAAGAGACAAGUAGUCUUAGGACUUAGUUUGACUUUGGUCAAAUGUUUGACCAAAAGUCAACCUUAGGUCAAAAUAGGAUUUUUUUUAUGUAAUCAACAAAUAUGACCUUUUUUUAAUACACUUUUGAUACUUUGAAUGUGA